UCCUCCCUCAAACCUCGCGUUUGGUGUUGGGUCGGAAGCGGGACUUGUCCCCCUUCGACCCCAAAGACAAUGACGGCGUCCGUUGGGACCCUCGGUGCAACGAGCUUCUUUGGAGCACGCACUGUGGUGGUUCUCCCUCCGGGCUGGUCUCAACCCUUUUUACAUUUACCA
rnacentral:misc_RNA from 1 species